CCUACGGGAGGCAGCAGUGAGGAAUAUUGGUCAAUGGGCGCGAGCCUGAACCAGCCAAGUAGCGUGAAGGAUGACUGCCCUACGGGUUGUAAACUUCUUUUAUAAAGGAAUAAAGUGAGGCACGUGUGCCUUAUUGUAUGUACUUUAUGAAUAAGGAUCGGCUAACUCCGUGCCAGCAGCCGCGGUAAUACGGAGGAUCCGAGCGUUAUCCGGAUUUAUUGGGUUUAAAGGGAGCGUAGAUGGGUUGUUAAGUCAGUUGUGAAAGUUUGCGGCUAAACCGUAAAAUUGCAAUUGAUACUGGCAGUCUUGAGUACAGUUGAGGUAGGCGGAAUUCGUGGUGUAGCGGUGAAAUGCUUAGAUAUCACGAAGAACUCUGAUUGCGAAGGCAGCUUACUAAACUGCCACUGACAUUGAUGCUCGAAAGUGUGGGUAUCAAACAGGAUUAGAUACCCUAGUAGUC
rnacentral:rRNA from 1 species